AAUAAAUCAAAUAAAAUAUAAAAUAAGGACACUGAAUGAACGAAGUAACGAUUAAAUCAAUCAAAUAAACACAUAAAUCACAAUUAUUAAAUGCGUGAAGUAGUGAAAUAAAUACAUUAGUAAAUAAAUCAUUUCGUGAAAUUGCAUUACCAAAUUUGUAAACGUGUUUUACGUAUAUUUAAAAGAAAUAAUCGAAGACAUGAAUGUGUAGAAGUGAAACACUGGGUUGAGCCGUCGUCUCCGGUGCAUAGAAACCAUUCACAACAAACCCGAAUAUUUCAGCGGCAAAAACAAAAGGGAGGAAUUAGCAAUAACUCUGGAUUACUAUAAUUUUCAACCAUCGAGAUGACCACUGGUGAUCUUAAAGGAUGUCUGAGAAAGCUGGAAGCGUCUCUCCGUUCUCUGAAGUAUCCCAGAGAAGUGGACUAUCAAAGAUUGGCUGUGGGAGAUCCAUCAGCUUGUCUUCCUAUUGUGAGCUUUGCCUUCACAGCCUUUUCCCCCUCACUCACAGAGCACCUGGUUGAUUAUGGUGUGGAACUAACUGGAUUGAAUGAUUUACGAUUUAUUGAGAAUGUUUAUAAGGUCUUGCGGGAUGUUUUCAGCUAUAAGCCACUGUUAACCAAACAGCAGUUUCUUCAGUAUGGCUUUGCUGAGAGGAAACUCAUCAUUCUCUGCGAUAUCAUUGGCCUUGUUCUCAACAAACACAAAGAACUCACUAAAAGCAAGCAUAUUAGUAAGCCAAAAAGAAGGCCUCAGUUUAAGAGCUGCACUAAAAAUGAGAUCUCUUCUGCUGAGAGUAACUCACUGGCAGUACCUCAGAAGCAGCCACUGGUAGAAAGGCAUCUUGGCAGCAGCUUAGCACCAGCUCCUCAGAAGCUCAUCAGAUGCUCCUCAGAAGAGCAGCCACAGCAGGAUGAGGAAACGGAAAAGAGUUUUGAGGACUCAUCUCAAACUGCAGAUUCAAUUGAGUGUGUUUUAGAGAGCCGGCUGAGGGAUGUCGAAGCAAGUCUUCUGGAGAGUGUUGGCAGACUGGAUCAGCGAUUGGCCCUUAUGGAACACAGGAUACAUGCUCUGGAGAAAAGCUUGGCUGGCAAGAUUAUCAUUGAGAGCAACCAGUGGGUGAACUUGGAGAGUCGCGUGCUGCUGCUGGAGACCAGGCAGGCAUUGACCUCAGCACAGGGUCUAACUUCAGGAGAUGGUGUCUUCAGCACAGACAAUGGUAGAUUCAGUGUGGACACAGCAUCUGCGAGUGGCAUUUCUACUGUGAUUCAUCUACCAUCUGACAUCAGUGAUAAUGGACACACUCCAGCCAGUUUUCCUCCGACAGCUCCCCAGACAGUAUGGCAGGAGGACAAGCAAAGAAAGGAAACAGAGACAAGAAGAGAGAAGAGAAAGGGAAAGUAAGGAAGAUCCCAUUUUAACUGAACAGCUGGCCCAUUUUACCUGAAUGUUGUGCCGUGGCUCAAGAAGAUUGCUUCAUACUGUGUCAAAAUUUGCUCCCAGUGAGAACUGAACUAGGAACCUCUAUUAACUGGACGGAUGACGGACAAGGGAGUGAGACAUCCCAGAGACUGUGCAGGCUGGCCUGACAUCUUGUUUGCCAUUUAAUCUUCGGGGAAGGGAUGUCUCUAUCACAGCUUUUAGCCUUUCUUUGUUCCAAAUACUCAAGUCUAUUUUUGUUUAACCUCAGUUUUGAUAGAUUUUGUCAAGGUCAGAUUUGGAUUUGGAAACUAAAAAGGCCUUUCAGAUAUUUCAUUCAGACCAGGGUCAACCUGACCCCAAAAAACUGAGAUUCUUGAAAAAAAUAAAUAAAUAAAAAUAGUGGCUCACA